GUCUUCUUUGGCUCAGAUGUUACUGGAUCCUCUGUCACUUCAGCACUGGGACCAUUAUGGAUACUUCAGCCUCUGAUUCUGCAGAUGGCCAUUGUGGACUCUUCUGCCUCUGACACUUGGACAACUGCGGCACGGCACCUAGGCAUCUGCUAGCUCUCCCAAGCCAUUUAACAAGUGGAAAGAUUUCCUCCUGACUUCUGCCUCUCUAAGCUACGUGGAGUCUGAAGAAGACUGAACCUCAGCUCGAUCAUGAUAAGGCCCAGGCACUCACAGAUCAUUUGAUCUCUAGAUAUUCCAACCUGCUGAGUGCAUUUGUAUUGCCCCUGGCCUUGCAUGCUUGGAAAAAGACAAAUGGAAUCCAGAUCUGGGUGGGACGGUGAUCCACAAGAAGACUGUCUCUGAAGAAUGUUGCAGCUCAAGAAAGUUAAGAUGAAUGGAAGAGUGAAGAAGCCAAAGAACAAACGAUCCCAUUUGCCAUGACCGAUGGAGGAGAGAGAGCGGGAAAGGAAAAAGAAGGAAGUAAGAGGAAGUGGGCUAAGCAGAUAAAGGGCUGAGAGUCCAGGACCCUUCGUGACAGUGGGCAGACUGAUGCCUAGGAAGUCUAGGUGCUGAAGCCCUGGCAAUCAAGAUUAUAUUCUAGCUCAAGCAACGUACUUCAUACUUCCCCUUCCCUGUGCUUGGGCUUCCCGAGUCCAUCUACUAAAAGUGAAGAGUUAAAUCAUAGAAGAGAAUGAAAAGAAACGAAGAAGAGAAGCAACAGGAGUUGAUAGAGUGCUUAUCCUCUUCAGGUUCAUUUACAAGCCCUUGACUGCCUUCUCAGAAGAUCUCUGCCUGGGGCCGUAUUGGCUCCACUGUGCCAUUCUGUUAUCAGUGUACAACAGAGUUCUUCUCCCUGUGGAAGACAGGUAUCAAUCUAGGGGCCUAAGCAUUCGUUCAAAAAGAGGCAUUGAGCACCAAUCUGCAGUCUCCAGUGUUCCAGGCACUGUGAGUCAGAGAUAAGGAAGAUUUCCCCUUCAUAACAAAUCUUACAGGAGCAAAGUCUUAUCCAAAGGGCUCCAUAAAGCCCUUCAAAAGCAGAGUCAGCUGUGAUGUUCCUAGCUACCAUGAAGGUUUGGGCUUUGAAAGAGACUGAUAAAUUUGCCUAAAUUCUGAAUUUCCUUAAGCCUGACAAAUCAGAUCUCCAAGUGUAUGCUUGAUCUUUCAAGGGCAUAGGUCAUGUGCAAGGGAGAUAAGGGUUUCAUUUUAGAUGCCAAAUGAUAACUGGGAGCAGUUGCCUAGAGUCCCAUAUCGAGAAGGCUUAUGAUUAGCUGGGCUUGGCAGGAAAAGGAACUGUAGUAGAUUCAUGACGUUUGCCCCAGGUAUGUAAGAGGAGAGGGAGGCUCAAUGUGCCAUAGAUUGCUGUCCCAGCCCUAACGUAGAAAAAUUACAUUUUUCAUAAUUGUUUCCUACCUAACUGCUCUUUUCUCAACUUAGCAACAAGUUCUAGGGGAGAGACAGCAUUAUACCAUAGAAGGAGCACUCGAAGCUAAGCUAUAGAGCUUUUCUUUCUCAUCAGAAAGGUAGCAUGGUGGGAGAGAAUGAGCACAGGGACCUGGAAUCAUAAAUGCACGGCUUUGGAGCUAAGUGCUCCAUUCUUCCAUAAACUUUCUGAUCCUGGACAGGUUUCCAUCAGCUCUGAUUUUUUUCACAGCAGCUAUAAAGUCUUUUUGAACUUUAAAUUAGCAUUUGUUAAUGAAGUAUUACUCCUAGAGGUGAUAGAAAGCUAAGUUCCUGCAAGGGUCUAGUCAUAACAUUUUCAUCAACCAAUCAACAUGUAACCUCAUUUUGUGUAUAUUGCUAUUUAAAAAUAAAUCAGAUAC